rnacentral:rRNA from 2 species
UUAAUUGAAGAGUUUGAUCAUGGCUCAGAUUGAACGCUGGCGGCAGGCCUAACACAUGCAAGUCGAGCGGCAGCACAGAGGAACUUGUUCCUUGGGUGGCGAGCGGCGGACGGGUGAGUAAUGCCUGGGAAAUUGCCCGGUAGAGGGGGGAUAACCAUUGGAAACGAUGGCUAAUACCGCAUAACCUCGCAAGAGCAAAGCAGGGGACCUUCGGGCCUUGCGCUACCGGAUAUG